GACGAACGCUGGCGGCGUGCCUAACACAUGCAAGUCGAACGGAGAAUUAGCAAUAAUUCUUAGUGGCGAACGGGUGAGUAACGCGUGGGCAAUCUGCCCUCUAGAUGGGGACAACAUUCCGAAAGGAGUGCUAAUACCGAAUGUGUUCAGCGAGUUGCAUAACUUGCUGAAGAAAGAUGGCCUCUAUUUAUAAGCUAUCGCUAGAGGAUGAGCCUGCGUCUGAUUAGCUAGUCGGUGAGGUAAUGGCUCACCAAGGCGACGAUCAGUAGCCGGUGUGAGAGGAUGAACGGCCACAAUGGGACUGAGACACGGCCCAGACUCCGACGGGAGGCAGCAGUGGGGAAUCUUCCGCAAUGGACGAAAGUCUGACGGAGCAACGCCGCGUGAACGAAGAAGGCCUUCGGGUCGUAAAGUUCUGUUGUUAGGGAAGAAUGUGCUUCUUGUAAAUAAUGAGAAGUAAUGACGGUACCUAAAGAGGAAGCCACGGCUAACUACGUGCCAGCCGCCGCAGUAA
rnacentral:rRNA from 1 species